rnacentral:rRNA from 1 species
GACGAACGCUGGCGGCGUGCUUAACACAUGCAAGUCGAACGGAAAGGCUCCAGCUUGCUGGAGUGCUCGAGUGGCGAACGGGUGAGUAACACGUGGGCAAUCUGCCCUGCACUCUGGGAUAAGCCUGGGAAACUGGGUCUAAUACCGGAUAGGACCUUUCUCCUCAUGGGGUUUGGUGGAAAGUUUUUCGGUGCAGGAUGAGCCCGCGGCCUAUCAGCUUGUUGGUGGGGUAAUGGCCUACCAAGGCGACGACGGGUAGCCGGCCUGAGAGGGUGACCGGCCACAUUGGGACUGAGAUACGGCCCAGACUCCUACGGGAGGCAGCAGUGGGGAAUAUUGCACAAUGGGCGAAAGCCUGAUGCAGCGACGCCGCGUGAGGGAUGACGGCCUUCGGGUUGUAAACCUCUUUCAGUAGGGACGAAGCGCAAGUGACGGUACCUGCAGAAGAAGCACCGGCUAACUACGUG